CCAUUUCUGAUGUUCAGUUUUACUGGAAUCAAUGUGUUCCCAUGAAAAAAAAUUAAUUUGGCACAUUUUAUGACAAAAAGAUGUGUUUCCUUAGAUCUUUAACUAGCUUUAGACUUCAGCAAAAAACAUGCAAUUAAUCAAAAGGCAAUCCAAAAGAUGGCUCUUUGUAGUGCCAGUAAGGCUACUAAAUGGUGUGUGUGUUGCAAUUACAAUCAGGCAGAGCAAUUACACUCAAAAAUAAUAAGGACAGUUACUUGUACAAAAUUGAAAUUCACUGAUUUUCCAUGCUCCUUCAUACAGGAUCCAGAGCAUGUUGGGUUCAGGGAAAUCAGUUCAUGUACAUUAUUUUUUUUUUAUAUAAAAUACUCAAAAGGUUGAGCAUCAGGGAAGAUAAUGACAGAAUGAUGUCAGUUUCAUAGGAAUACUCCUUGCAUUUUGAAGAAAAGUAAACGUAGAGAAAUAAAACUGAAAAUAUAUAAAUAAGAAAAGACAUCUUCCCGUUGCUCUUAAAAAUUUAUUACAAAACAAAACAAUCAAGAAGCGUGCUGCAAAAAAAGAGUUUCUUAGGUAAUGCCUGGGUCAGUCCAGAAGGAGACCUGUGGAUUUCUGCAGGAAGGCUGGUUACAGACAUGUAAGCAAGGGUCAGUGAGGUCCAUCUAUCUCCGUAUCAUAUCUCUGAUGAGAGCAAGGGAAGGAUUCUUAAGAAGCAUUUUAACAACAGCACCUGUAAGGUCUGACACAGCUCCAGGUAUAUUCUCAUUUCUUUUCCAAGCUGGACAGUCCCUGGGUCAUUUGUCUUCUCCGUGUACGAUAAUCAUCCAUCCUUCUCAGCCUUUUCUGCUCAUUUUCUAGGACUACUACACAGUCUGUGAGAUGGGUGGUACUACCACUUCCUGUACUAAAGGUACCAGAGAGUCAAUUAAACUUGGUGAAAAGGAACAAGUGACUGCAAUGAGUCUUUGGAUCCAGCUUGCUUUUAUGUAAUAAAAUUGAAAGAAACAUCAAGCAGUUAUAUCAACAUCAGGAACAGCAAGAGCAAUAAAAAUCAACUGGAAAGUACCAGGUAAGUACAAAUUACGAUGAUGACAGCUUUUUGGUUAGACUAGAAAAAGAGUGGUAAAGAACCAUACGUUGUAUCUUCUGUGCCAUGGAAAUUCUGUGCAACUGCACUGUGUAUAAAUUCACUUUGUCCUUAAUUCACUCAAUAUCUCAGUAGCACAGCAUUUUGCUAUGGGUAGUUAGAUGUGUUCUAUGUACCAAGAACAAAAGAACAAGCUCUGAAUGUAUGGAUUUUACUUGGUAUUUCUGCUGCAUUGAACACAGAUUAGAAAGCUACCAUAACAAGAUAAAAAUCUGCUUAUCUUUUUGUUUUGUUUGUUUGUUUGUUUAGGCAGAGUUUCAGAAGCUCAUAGCAGUUUGCAUGAUGUUAUUUAUCCAUCCAUCUUUACAACAAUCCACUUGCUAAUUAAAAACAUUUCUGCCUACAACCACACUCAAAUCAAAGAGCUUUAAGUAUUUAUCAUCUGCAGAUUAUUCUGCAGUUUGUGUAAAAUUAAUUGGGUCUAGU